rnacentral:tRNA from 1 species
GCGUUCAUAGCUCGGUUGGUUAGAGCACCACCUUGACAUGGUGGGGGUCGUUGGUUCGAGUCCAAUUGAACGCACCA